UAGGGUGCAAGCGUUGUCCGGAAUUAUUGGGCGGAAAGAGCUCGUAGGCGGUCUGUCACGUCGGCUGUGAAAUCCCGAGGCUUAACCCCGAGCCUGCAGUGGAUACGGGCAGACUAGAGGUAGGUAGGGGAGAAUGGAAUUCCCGGUGUAGCGGUGAAAUGCGCAGAUAUCAGGAGGAACACCGGUGGCGAAGGCGGGUCUCUGGGCCGUUACUGACGCUGAGGAGCGAAAGCGUGGGGAGCGAACAGG
rnacentral:rRNA from 1 species